AGUGAACGCUGGCGGUAGGCCUAACACAUGCAAGUCGAACGGCAGCACAGUAAGAGCUUGCUCUUACGGGUGGCGAGUGGCGGACGGGUGAGGAAUACAUCGGAAUCUACUUUUUCGUGGGGGAUAACGUAGGGAAACUUACGCUAAUACCGCAUACGACAUACGGGUGAAAGCAGGGGAUCUUCGGACCUUGCGCGAUUGAAUGAGCCGAUGUCGGAUUAGCUAGUUGGCGGGGUAAAGGCCCACCAAGGCGACGAUCCGUAGCUGGUCUGAGAGGAUGAUCAGCCACACUGGAACUGAGACACGGUCCAGACUCCUACGGGAGGCAGCAGUAGGGAAUAUUGGACAAUGGGCGAAAGCCUGAUCCAGCCAUACCGCGUGGGUGAAGAAGGCCUUCGGGUUGUAAAGCCCUUUUGUUGGGAAAGAAAAGCAGCAGGUUAAUACCCCGCUGUUCUGACGGUACCCAAAGAAUAAGCACCGGCUAACUUCGUG
rnacentral:rRNA from 1 species